CUGGGCGUAAAGCGCGUGUAGGCGGCCGGGUAAGUUGGACGUGAAAUCUCCUGGCUCAACUAGGAGAGGUCGUUCAAAACUGCCUGGCUAGAGGGCGACAGAGGGAGGUGGAAUUCCCGGUGUAGUGGUGAAAUGCGUAGAUAUCGGGAGGAACACCAGUGGCGAAGGCGGCCUCCUGGGUCGCCCCUGACGCUCAGACGCGAAAGCUAGGGGAGCAAACGGGAUUAGAUACCCCGGUAGUCCUAGCUGUAAACGAUGUGGACUUGGCGUUGGUGGGGUUAAAUCCAUCAGUGCCGUAGCUAACGCGAUAAGUCCACCGCCUGGGGACUACGGUCGCAAGAUUAAAACUCAAAGGAAUUGGCGGGGGCCCGCACAAGCAGCGGAGCGUGUGGUUUAAUUCGAUGCUACACGAAGAACCUUACCCGGGUUUGACAUCCAGGUGGUAGGGAACCGAAAGGUGACCGACCCUUCGGGGAGCCUGGACAGGUGCUGCAUGGCUGUCGUCAGCUCGUGUCGUGAGAUGU
rnacentral:rRNA from 1 species